UACGAAGGGGGCUAGCGUUGCUCGGAAUGACUGGGCGUAAAGGGCGCGUAGGCGGUUUGUACAGUCAGGUGUGAAAUUCCCGGGCUCAACCUGGGGGCGGCACUUGAGACGUAGGAACUGGAGUGAGGAAGAGGGUCGUGGAAUUCCCAGUGUAGAGGUGAAAUUCGUAGAUAUCGGGAGGAACACCGGUGGCGAAGGCGGCGCUCUGGGUAGAUACUGACGCUGAGGUGCGAAAGCGUGGGGAGCAAACGGG
rnacentral:rRNA from 1 species